AUACAGAGGUGGCGAGCGUUGUCCGGAAUUAUUGGGCGUAAAGCGCGCGCAGGUGGUUCCUUAAGUCUGAUGUGAAAGCCCCCGGCUCAACCGGGGAGGGUCAUUGGAAACUGGGGGACUUGAGUGCAGAAGAGGAAAGUGGAAUUCCAAGUGUAGCGGUGAAAUGCGUAGAGAUUUGGAGGAACACCAGUGGCGAAGGCGACUGUCUGGUCUGUAACUGACGCUGAGGCGCGAAAGCGUGGGGAGCAAACAGGAUUAGAUUCCCUGGUAGUCCACGCCGUAAACGAUGAGUGCUAAGUGUUAGGGGGUUUCCGCCCCUUAGUGCUGCAGCUAACGCAUUAAGCACUCCGCCUGGGGAGUACGGUCGCAAGACUGAAACUCAAAUGAAUUGGCGGGG
rnacentral:rRNA from 1 species